rnacentral:rRNA from 1 species
GUGAGGAAUUUUCCGCAAUGGGCGAAAGCCUGACGGAGCAAUGCCGCGUGAAGGAUGAAGGCCUAUGGGUUGUAAACUUCUUUUCUCAGAAAAGAAUUAUGACGGUAUCUGAGGAAUAAGCAUCGGCUAACUCUGUGCCAGCAGCCGCGGUAAGACAGAGGAUGCAAGCGUUAUCCGGAAUGAUUGGGCGUAAAGCGUCUGUAGGUUGUUUAAAAAGUAUUCUGUCAAAGAUUAGGGCUUAACCCUAGAUAGGCAGAAUAAACUUUUAAGCUAGAGUUUGGUAGAGGCAGAGGGAAUUCCCGGUGGAGCGGCGAAAUGCGUAGAUAUCGGGAGGAACACCAAAGGCGAAGGCACUCUGCUGGGCCAAUACUAACACUGAGAGACGAAAGCGAGGGGAGCAAAUGGGAUUAGAUACCCUAGUAGUCC